UUGGAACGAUGCACAUAAUUUGCA
rnacentral:siRNA from 1 species